rnacentral:rRNA from 1 species
GACGAACGCUGGCGGCGUGCCUAAUACAUGCAAGUUGAGCGCUGAAGGUUGGUACUUGUACCAACUGGAUGAGCAGCGAACGGGUGAGUAACGCGUGGGGAAUCUGCCUUUGAGCGGGGGACAACAUUUGGAAACGAAUGCUAAUACCGCAUAAAAACUUUAAACACAAGUUUUAAGUUUGAAAGAUGCAAUUGCAUCACUCAAAGAUGAUCCCGCGUUGUAUUAGCUAGUUGGUGAGGUAAAGGCUCACCAAGGCGAUGAUACAUAGCCGACCUGAGAGGGUGAUCGGCCACAUUGGGACUGAGACACGGCCCAAACUCCUACGGGAGGCAGCAGUAGGGAAUCUUCGGCAAUGGACGAAAGUCUGACCGAGCAACGCCGCGUGAGUGAAGAAGGGUGUCGGAUCGGAAAACUCUGUUGGUAGAGAAGAACGUUGGUGAGAGUGGAAAGCUCAUCAAGUGACGGUAACUACCCAGAAAGGGACGGCUAACUACGUG